rnacentral:rRNA from 1 species
UACGUAGGGUGCAAGCGUUAAUCGGAAUUACUGGGCGUAAAGCGUGCGCAGGCGGUUAUGUAAGACAGGUGUGAAAUCCCCGGGCUUAACCUGGGAACUGCAUUUGUGACUGCAUAGCUAGAGUACGGUAGAGGGGGAUGGAAUUCCGCGUGUAGCAGUGAAAUGCGUAGAUAUGCGGAGGAACACCGAUGGCGAAGGCAAUCCCUGGACCUGUACUGACGCUCAUGCACGAAAGCGUGGGAGCAAACAGG